CUACUACUCCCUCCGUCCGAAAAUACUUGUCAUUGAAAUGGAUGUAUCUAGAUGUAUUUUAGUUCUAGACACAUCCAUUUUGAUGACAAGUAAUUCCUGACGGAGGGAGUAUUAU
rnacentral:pre_miRNA from 1 species